rnacentral:rRNA from 1 species
AACGAACGCUGGCGGCAUGCCUAACACAUGCAAGUCGAACGAGACCUUCGGGUCUGGUGGCGCACGGGUGCGUAACGCGUGGGAACCUGCCCUUAGGUUCGGAAUAACUCCCCGAAAGGGGUGCUAAUACCGGUUAAUGUCUUCGGACCAAAGAUUUAUCGCCUUUGGAUGGGCCCGCGUUGGAUUAGCUAGUUGGUAGGGUAAAAGCCUACCAAGGCGACGAUCCAGAGCUGGUCUGAGAGGAUGAUCAGCCACACUGGGACUGCGACACGGCCCAGACUCCGACGCGAGGCAGCAGUGGGGAAUAUUGGACAAUGGGCGAAAGCCUGAUCCAGCAAUGCCGCGUGAGUGAUGAAGGGCUUAGGGUUGUAAAGCUCUUUUACCCGGGAUGAUAAUGACGGUACCGGGAGAAUAAGCUCCGGCUAACUCCGUG